rnacentral:lncRNA from 1 species
AAAAAAUUUGUUUAGUAGCGUUGACGACUUGCCGUCUAUGAAGAUAUUAUUUGUUUGAAUUGAGUACAUAUUUAGUUAGAUGCCGGAUAACAUCUUAACUUGUACUUUCACUUUAAAACUUAUCCAUGUUAGAUUUGAUUAUUUGAGCACAGAGCCAUAAUGAUUUAUCACUUAUGUUGGUAUACAAUGUAAUUUUUGUGGAAUUGUUGAUGUUGUUGACUUAGGUUUGAAUAAAAUUCCCAAGUACCUUAUUUAGAAACCAAACUGGAAAAAAAAAGCAGUUUGGGGGUGAGAAGGUUAGUGCUUGUCUUCCUAGAAGUGCGAUGGUUUGGAAUUCUCGGACCCCAACGUUAAUUGAAAGGGUUUGAGUUAAAAAGUCUAAAACGGGCACUGAUCAUUAUACAUUUUUUUUACUUCUUUUUGUAGCCUUUAUGACCCGAGUGAUUAAGCCUGCAAGGGUAUCUAAAAACCUGAUGCCCUAUAGUCGUCUGACUUGGGAGUCAUCGGCCUAAAACUCGUUACAUGGGUCAUUUAGAAAGCUUAAUGGAAAGAAGCUUUGCACAUAAGAAAAAAAAUAAAAAUAAAUAAACAGUUGGAUUCUCAUAUCAAAAGAAAAAGCAACACAUCUUCUACUUAUUUUCGUAGCCUUUUUGACUCGGGUUAUUAAGCCUGCAAGGGUAUCUAAAAACCUGAUGCCCUAUAGUCGUCUGACUUGGGAGUCAUCGGCCUAAAACUCGCUACAUGAGUCAUUUAGAAAGCUUAAUGAAGAGAAGUCUUGCACAGGAGAUGUCAAAAAAAAAAAAUGAAGAAGAAAAUUUGAGAUAUAAUUUAUCAAAAGUGAGAUGUGCCUAGUAAUGACUUUGAGA